rnacentral:rRNA from 1 species
UACGUAGGGGGCAAGCGUUGUCCGGAAUCAUUGGGCGUAAAGAGCGUGUAGGCGGCCUGGUAAGUCCGCUGUGAAAGUCCAGGGCUCAACCCUGGAAUGCCGGUGGAAACUGUCAGGCUCGAGUCCGGAAGAGGCGAGUGGAAUUCCUGGUGUAGCGGUGAAAUGCGCAGAUAUCAGGAGGAACACCAGUGGCGAAGGCGGCUCGCUGGGCUCUACCUGACGCUGAGGCGCGAAAGCGUGGGGAGCGAACCGG